rnacentral:rRNA from 1 species
AUUGAACGCUGGCGGCAUGCCUUACACAUGCAAGUCGAACGGCAGCGGACCUUCGGGUGCCGGCGAGUGGCGAACGGGUGAGUAAUAUAUCGGAACGUACCUUUCAGUGGGGGAUAACGUAGCGAAAGUUACGCUAAUACCGCAUAUUCUGUGAGCAGGAAAGCAGGGGAUCGCAAGACCUUGCGCUGAUUGAGCGGCCGAUAUCAGAUUAGCUAGUUGGUGAGGUAAAGGCUCACCAAGGCGACGAUCUGUAGCGGGUCUGAGAGGAUGAUCCGCCACACUGGAACUGAGACACGGUCCAGACUCCUACGGGAGGCAGCAGUGGGGAAUUUUGGACAAUGGGCGCAAGCCUGAUCCAGCCAUGCCGCGUGAGUGAAGAAGGCCUGGUUGUAAGCUCUUCGUCCGGGACGGAAAUCGCACAGUUAAGUACCUCGUGUGGAUGACGGUACCGGAA